GCCUGAAUAGCUCAGUUGGUUAGAGCAUGGCGCUGAUAACGCCAAGGUUGCAGGUUUUAUCCUGUAUGGGACA